GGAGAGUUGGCUGAGCGGUCGAAAGCAACAGCUUGGAAAGUUGUCAAUAGGGUUACACUUAUUCAGCAGUUCGAAUCUGCUACUCUCCUCCA
rnacentral:tRNA from 1 species